rnacentral:rRNA from 1 species
ACGCUGGCGGGAUGCUUUACACAUGCAAGUCGGACGGCAGCACGGACUUCGGUCUGGUGGCGAGUGGCGAACGGGUGAGUAAUGUAUCGGAACGUGCCCAGUAGCGGGGGAUAACUACGCGAAAGCGUGGCUAAUACCGCAUACGCCCUACGGGGGAAAGCGGGGGACCUUCGGGCCUCGCACUAUUGGAGCGGCCGAUAUCGGAUUAGCUUGUUGGUGAGGUAAUGGCUCACCAAGGCGACGAUCCGUAGCUGGUUUGAGAGGACGACCAGCCACACUGGGACUGAGACACGGCCCAGACUCCUACGGGAGGCAGCAGUGGGGAAUUUUGGACAAUGGGGGCAACCCUGAUCCAGCCAUCCCGCGUGUGCGAUGAAGGCCUUCGGGUUGUAAAGCACUUUUGGCAGGGAAGAAAAGGUUCUGGCGAAUAACCGGAACUGCUGACGUUACCGACAGAAUAAGCACCGGCUAACUUCGUGCCAGCAGCCGCGGUAAUACGAAGGGUGCAAGCGUUAAUCGGAAUUACUGGGCCG